rnacentral:tRNA from 1 species
CCUUCGAUAGCUCAGUUGGUAGAGCGGUGGACUGUAGUCGUUGAAGCGUUCCAGAAGAGGAGAGAUAUCCAUAGGUCGCUGGUUCGAAUCCGGCUCGAAGGA